GAAGCGCGGGCGUCUGCCCUCCCGCCGCCCGUUUCGAGGUCGUGGAGAGGAGAGGAAAUGGCCCCGGAGCAACCACGCAGCUGCCUGAUCGUCUGGCCCGACCGCGCCUCAGUAGACUUGGGUCCUGGUCUGAGCAGCCGGGCUGGUGCGGGUGUCCUCACUAGGAUAAUGAAUACAGCUCCACUACCUAUACUACCCAAGACGACCCCUCACACGCUCUGCGAGGAAACCGGUCUUCGGACCUGUGCCCCCAACCUGGUGGCCUGCACCAGUGAUAGGGCAAUUUGACUCCUAGUCGUGGGGGCUUGUGAUACUAUCUCUACCUACAGACACCCACUGCCUGUCACUGCACAGUAAACCUUCCUGCUCCACAGGGCUGCCUCCCCACUGGAAUUCCCACCGUGUUCCUGGUUCUGGAAAGUCUGUCCUCCCGGGUGGCCAUGAUACCCUCCCUACUACUCCACUUCUUCCUUGCAGUCACAAGCAGCAGAGUGGAAUGGGAGCUCGACACUGACUAGGCCUUUAACAGUCCUAAGUGCAACAGAAGAGCUGCAGCUUUCAAACAGACAGAGUGAAAGGUUUCUCAUUAGCAUCCCUCAACCUCGGGAAGCUUCUCCCGGGUCCCGAAGGCUGACCUAAGAGCCUUUUCCAGCAGCCAGCCUUGCAAUGAUACCCUUCUCCUCCACCUCUGAAGCUUUGAGAUUGGGCCACCAUGUUGGACUAGGAUUGCAGAAGGCCAUUGCUGGUUCUGCACUUUCCUUUGAGCUUAGACGUCACAACUCAUCAUGCAAUUGUGAUUAUUAUAGUCCUUUCUGCAGUGCCAGUGUACCCACCAGGCUGGACACUUCAAAAUGGCAGGGCUAUAUCUGUGUGGCUACUACUACCUUGCAGCAAGGCUUGUUGAGCCCUUACAGUACUAUAGAUGUCUUGGCCAGCUGGUUUGUUGUUAUAGCGACAGUGGACUGCAGUGUUCUGCUGAGACAACCGAGAAUUCCUCCAGACAUGACUCAAACAUCCCCAAGUGACAAAAUUACCUAGAAUUGAUAGCCUCCUCUCUCUCCACAGCCUAUCCUGGUGUCCCUGAAAUAAUUGAAUGCACAGCUCUGCUCUGUCUUAG
rnacentral:lncRNA from 1 species